AAUCUGAGAACUGAAUAAAUACUGAAAAAUCACACCAUAAAGAGUACCCAAUGAAUAGCCUUACUCAUGUACAGAGUAAUCUUGAUGUACAAGGCAAAGCCAUUCAAAUCUGAUAAUCUGAUCAUACGUACGCAGAGCUGCCCCAAAGGCUAAUCACCCUAGUACACGGCCCAAAGCCUAUGUGUGUACGAGAGUGGGUCCCAAAAACCUCUGAUAAUCUGGUCAUACACUAUGGAAACACAUUCACAAUAGUGCAGAGCGGGUAAAAUCACUAUAACUAGUCAUACACUGUGGAAACACAUUCACAUCAGUGCAAACUGGGGUAAAAUCACCUGGGUACUUUCUGGUGGUUUUUAGAAAUAACUUUAACUAUACUGAAACAUAUAAUAAGAAUAUAACAUGCUACUAAAAUAAUUUAACUGAACUGAAUUUAACUUUAAAAAAAAUUGAUAAUAAAAUCUAUUUUACUCUGAAAAUCAUGCUAUGAAGUCAACUUUAUAAAAUAAAUAACUUUAAAAUUUAAAGAAGACUUAUUUCUGAAAAAUAUGUUUUAUCCACUCACAAAUCUAUGAAUAGCAAUUUGGUUCAAUUUUACCAGCCUUGCCUAACUUUCACGUUACCACCUGAAAUACGAUAUAAAAUAACUAAUUUAACAACUUCCAUACUAAGUAUUUCUUAAUACUAAUAAUCGAAUACUAAAACUUGACUUCUCGAUACUUAAAUAAUAUUUUCCCCAAUUUCCUGUAAUCACUUCAAACUAAUUCCACUUUCUAGUCCAUUUCUUAAUAGCUAAUUCAUUACAAUAAUCUUCACUCCAAACAUCAAAAUAAUUCCUUCUUCCAAACUAGUGAAAUUAAUAAUCAUAAUUUAACCAAUUUAAUUUCCCAUCUUGAUCCAUAAAUUCAUGCCUUCAAAUGAGUAUUUCAUCCUUACAAUUUUUCCCGUUAACUAAACUCAUUCAAAAACCCAAAUGAAAAUUCUAGGGUUUUACCCAAAAUUGGUAUUUCUUACCUUAGUGUAAAUAACAUCUCCAAUUCAAAAAUAUUGACUUGAAAACAUAUAUAUUCCUUCCUUAAAAUCUGAAAAUUAAACAAAUAAAAUCAAAACUCUAAAAAUUUAAGCAUAAAACAUACCAUAUCUUUUAAAGAAAUUAGACAAAUUGAAAAUGAAAUUGGAAUAGCCACUACCUCUUUUCCUUCCUUUUCUUCUUCUUUUUCUUCCCUCUUUUCUUUCCCUUUUUCUUCUUCUCUGCCGGUCCUUUCUUUCUUCUAGUGUGUGUGUGUGUGAUUUAUGAGAGAAAAAGUGAUG
rnacentral:lncRNA from 1 species